CCUUCACAGGAGGAGCAGCUGAGUUUCCUCAUCCCCUGGGACAGAAGCAGGGGCUCUCCUCUGCCAUCAGCCCUGGGCUGUGGUUCCCGUCCUGCCUGGCACAGGCUCCUGUCCUGGAGCAGCUUCAGGAGCCUCUUGGAAAUGAAAUCAAUGGAAACCUUGGCACAGGUUUGCAGUGGCAAAGGAGGAGCCCCCAGAGCAGCACCAGGAGAUUGAAACCCUCCAGAUUCAGCCUUUCAUCAGCAUCCCUUCAGUGCCAGAUCUGCACAGCUGCCUCCAGCACCCCAAAACCUCCACUCCCACAAAGCCCACUCCCACCUUAACAAAAAGUUAAAAAGUCACUUUUUAACUCUUCUAAAAUAUAUUUUAUUUCCGCCCUUCC